UACAGAGGGGGCAAGCGUUGUUCGGAAUUACUGGGCGUAAAGGGCGCGUAGGCGGCCUUCUAAGUCGAACGUGAAAUCCCCGGGCUCAACCCGGGAACUGCGUCCGAGACUGGAAGGCUCGAAUCCGGGAGAGGGAUGUGGAAUUCCAGGUGUAGCGGUGAAAUGCGUAGAUAUCUGGAGGAACAUCGGUGGCGAAGGCGGCAUCCUGGACCGGUAUUGACGCUCAGGCACGAAAGCGUGGGGAGCAAACAGG
rnacentral:rRNA from 1 species